CGAGUGGUUUAUUGUGGCGCUUGAGGCUACAAGCCCAAGUAUCUUCAGCUCAAGAAGAAGUUAGAAGAUGAGUUCCCUAGCCGUCUGGACAUCCAUCUCUUCCUUCUCCCCAGUGCGGUGAGGGGACUCCCCAGGUCACCGGCUUCUUUGAAGUGUUCGUAGCAGGAAAGCUGGUUCACUCCAAGA